rnacentral:rRNA from 1 species
GAUUUGACGGUACCUAUAAAGGAAGCACCGGCUAACUCCGUGCCAGCAGCCGCGGUAAUACGGGGGGUGCAAGCGUUGUUCGGAAUUAUUGGGCGUAAAGCGCGUGUAGGCGGUCUGAUUAGUCUGAUGUGAAAGCCCUGGGCUCAACCCAGGAAGUGCAUUGGAUACUGUCAGACUUGAAUACGGGAGAGGGUAGUGGAAUUCCUAGUGUAGGAGUGAAAUCCGUAGAUAUUAGGAGGAACACCGGUGGCGAAGGCGGCUACCUGGACCGAUAUUGACGCUGAGACGCGAAAGCGUGGGUAGCAAACAGGAUUAGAUACCCUGGUAGUCCACGCCGUAAACGAUGAGAACUAGGUGUCGCGGGUA